UGAGUUCUCCAAGUUCCGGCUCUAGUGAUUUGGAGUUCGUUUCCCUCACCCGUCGUGAGGACAUUGUUUGGCCUGAGGUAGACCUUGAUUCCUCUUGUAGCGGAAUCAGUGAUGCCUCUACUCUACCCUUAACCAAUAUUGCCCCAGCCCAAAGUGACAUACCUGACACACCUGCUUCCCCCGAUCCCGCGUUCGAAGCCUAUUUUGACGCCCAUGCUCAACCUUACAGCCCAGCCCCACCCUCUACUGGUGUUGGAUCCCUUGAA